GACGAACGCUGGCGGCGUGCUUAACACAUGCAAGUCGAACGGAAAGGCCCUGCUUGCAGGGUACUCGAGUGGCGAACGGGUGAGUAACACGUGGGUGAUCUGCCCUGCACUUCGGGAUAAGCCUGGGAAACUGGGUCUAAUACCGGAUAGGAGCCAUUUUUAGUGUGAUGGUUGGAAAGUUUUUUCGGUGUAGGAUGAGCUCGCGGCCUAUCAGCUUGUUGGUGGGGUAAUGGCCUACCAAGGCGGCGACGGGUAGCCGGCCUGAGAGGGUGGACGGCCAAAAUGGGACUGGGGUAAGGCCCAGACUCCUACGGGAGGCAGCAGUGGGGAAUAUUGCACAAUGGGCGCAAGCCUGAUGCAGCGACGCCGCGUGGGGGAUGACGGCCUUCGGGUUGGAAACUCCUUUCGCUAGGGACGAAGCUUUUUGUGACGGUACCUAGAGAAGAAGCACCGGCUAACUACGUG
rnacentral:rRNA from 1 species